UACGUAGGUGGCAAGCGUUGUCCGGAUUUACUGGGCGUAAAGCGCGUGUAGGCUGCCUUGCAAGUCGGGUGUGAAAGCCCUGGGCUCAACCUAGGAAGUGCACUCGAAACUGCAAGGCUGGAGUCCUGGAGAGGAAGGCGGAAUUCUCGGUGUAGAGGUGAAAUUCGUAGAUAUCGAGAGGAACACCGGUGGCGAAGGCGGCCUUCUGGACAGUGACUGACGCUGAGACGCGAAAGCGUGGGGAGCAAACAGG
rnacentral:rRNA from 1 species